CUCACUCAGCGCCGAAAAGAUCUAUCAAUCCCCAGAGCGAACUUGCACAGUCCCUUUAAGCUUGCGGGGGCCUCAGUUUCCUUAUCUGUAAAAUGAGGAAAUCCGGCUUCUUUCAAGCUCCCGGAAGGAGGGCUUUCCUGCCUUCACCCGUCAGUCUUCCGUUUUAGAAAGUCCCAGUAAGAGAAAUAAUGAUAGACAAGGAAGUUGAUAUUAUAGAAUAAGGCAAAGUGAAAAUGAAUGGUUAAGAGCCACUAGAAAAUUCUGACUAAUAAGUGAAUUAAAAGAUGGAUCACAUGUCUGAUGGGAUUUGGUGAAAUCAAAUUUCCUAUGCAACCCAGAGUUAAGUCUGUGAGAGGUCCUCCAAAAUAAAAUGUUAUUUAUAUCUGUUCUAUGUAUUCAUUGUUAGCAAAAGCCAACACCCACAGGAGCCACAUAGCAUCCUUAGAGAUAAAAAUUCCUAAGAGCUACAAAUUGGAAACUUUUUUUCAUAUAUAGCUCCUUAAGUACUAGCUAAACAAUUAGAAAUGUUUGCUCUUGGUUAUAAAGUAAAUUUGGAACUAAGAUAGAUUGAUUAAUACAACCUGUGAAGAAUGAGGAAUCUAGCUUUAGCUAAGAAUUUUUAACCUGGGCUUUCUGAACUUUUAUUUUAAAAAUAAAUAUGUAUUUUUUUUACUCUUUCAAUAUAAUUGGUUUUCUUUGUAAUACUAUUUUAUACAUUUAGAAACAUUCUAAAGAGUCACCAAGUUUCCAAAGGUCCAUGGCAUUAAAAAGUUUGACAACCUCUACUUUAGAGUGACUUUCAACAGUUAGCUUUUCAUGGUGCUAACUCUUUCACUUAAAAUCAGCCAGUUUUUAGGAUUUGUAGCUUUAACUACACCUUAUAGCCCUGAGAAUGGCCUGAACUUCCCCAGGCUUAAAGUGCUCUAUCUUCUUUAUCUUUAUCCCCCAUCGUUAUAAUUGCCAUCAUUUUUCAUUACUGUCACUAAGUUCUUAUUAACUUAUAUCUGAAUCAAUGAAAUACCUUUCUGAAUUGGUCUGCUAAAAAAAAAUUCUCCAAUGGGUUCCCAUUCCAAUAAAAACUUCUCUCAUAUCAAUUGCAAAAUUGUCUUGAAAGCUUUAUCUGGGUGAUCUCAAAGCAAGCUACUCCUGUUAUAACUUAAUACCCCAUCAGUUAUCUCCCCAUUUAACUGCCAUAUCACUGUCUUCUAUUAUCAGAAUAUUCACACUCUUCCCCUACCAAAUAUCACAAGGUACUGUUUAAAUCAAAAGUAACUCAUCAGAAUGAAGUUGGAAACGCUUGGUGUAAAGAAUUUCCCAGGUCUCUUCCCAGAUCUAAUAUUCUAGCCUUAAAUAUAAUAAUCAAGCCAGCCCCUCCAAAAUCAGUACCCAAUCUACUUUUACCCCUUUAUUCCCAACUACUUUUAUAUAUCAGCUGGAUUGACUCCUUGAUAUAGAUAUAGAUAUAUAGAAAGUAUAUAUCAGCUGGAUUGACUCCUUGAUAUCCUUUGUAUCUUCCCACCUCAGAGUUUCUUAGACCUAGUUCCUUAUCCUGUUACACCCCACAAGUCAGACAGCCCAGGGACCAUAUUUAGAAAGAUCAUGAAUUUAUAGUUAGAAGGAAACUCAAACAUUAUUAUCUAGUCUAGUCAACUCAAUUAUAGGAAGGUGAAGUGAUUAAACCUAAGGAUACACAAGUAUGGAGAAUUAGAUGUGGGAUUAGAAUUGAGGCCCUCUGUCUCCCUGAAACCAGUGCUUUCAGCUCUGACUUUAGAACAAUGCUUCUUCAUCCCAUUUUCUUUGCCAAUUUUUUUAUGUAUACCAGGCCUCACCUCCACCCCCACCACAUUCACCAUUUGCUCUCAGAACUUUAAUCAAAGUAACACUGCAAUUUUCACUGGAAAAAAAAUUUAAAGUAGAACCAAGAUGAUGGAAUAGUAGGGAAAAAAUACAGCUUAGCUCCCCAACACAAUUCCUCCAUAAAGAUCUAGAAAACAUACUAUAGACUGGAAAAUCUAAGAAUAAUCUAAAAUAAUAUCCUUAUUAGUAUCUUAUAAUUGUUUAUUCACAGUUACCUUUUAAAAUUUCUCUUGAUUCUCAUAUUUUUAUUUCAAAGUUUUUCUGUAGCUCUUAUCUUUUCAUCAGGAAGGCUUAAAAAGCCUCUAUUUCAUUAAUGAUUCACUUUAAUACACUUAAUAUGGAUUUGCCUUUAGUAAGUCUAUAUAGGGCUUAUAGCUGGCACAGGGGCUAGAUUUCGUGGUCUGAAGUCAGAAAAGAUUCACCCAGCAAAAACAAAGAAAAAGAAAAAUAUAUGAGAAUAGGAUGGAGAAAUAAACAGGUAGUAAUUGUAAUGAUGAAUGUGAAUGGAAUGCAAUCUCCAUAAAACAGAAGAGGAAAAUGGAAUGGAUUAGAAAGUAGAAUUCAACAAAAUGUUAUAAGAACCACAAUAAAUAGUCAAGAGACUGGAACAGAAUCUAUUGUGCUUUAGCUAAAUUAAUAGCAGCAAUAGCAGUCAUCUCAGAUAAAUUAAUAGUAAAAAUAAGCCUAAUUAAAAGAGAAAAACAGGGAAACUACAUUGUAAAUAGCAAUACUAAAUAUAUGUUCAAAAAAGGCAUGUCUAAAUAUACAAAGGAGAAGUUAAAUGAAUUAGAGAGAGGAAAUAGUAAAAUUUAAUAAUGAGGAACCUCAAUUUACAGUCCAUUCAAAUCUGCAUAGUGAAGUACCCAAAUAGAAUUUAGAAACGUUAGAUGUAAUAGGUCUCUAGAGAAUACUGAAUGAAAAAAGAUGUGUACAUAUUUCUCAACUGUGCUUAUCACUUUCAUAAAAACCAUUUUGUUUUAAAUAACUUUUUAUUGACAGAAUCCAUGCCAGGGUAAUUUUUUACAGCAUUAUCCCUUGCAUUCAUUUCUGUUCCGAUUUUUCCCCUCCCUCCCUCACCCCCUCCCCCAGAUGGCAAGCAGUCCUUUACAUGUUGAAUAGGUUACAGUAUAUCCUAGAUACAUCAUAUAUGUGUGCAGAACCGAACAGUUCUCUUGUUGCACAGGGAGAAUUGGAUUCAGAAGGUAUAAAUAACCCAGGAAGAAAAACAAACAUGCAAGCAGUUUAUAUUCAUUUCCCAGUGUUCUUUCUUUGGGUGUAGCUGCUUCUGCCCAUCUUUGAUCAUUUGAAACUGAAUUAACUCUCUUUAUCAAAGAGAUCAACUUCCAUCAGAAUACAUCCUCAAACAGUAUCAUUGUUGAGGUAUAUAGUGAUCUCCUGGUUCUGCUCAUUUCACUUAGCAUCAGUUCAUAAAACCAAUCAUUUUUAAAACAUACAUAUGCAAUGAAGCAGAAAUAGUCUAUCUUUUAGAUAGAUAGACUAUUCCCCACAUCUGAAAUGCUCUUUCCUUAUCUCCAGAAAUCUAACCAAAAAUGUCUUAAGCAACAAAAACGAAAUUCUGGAAAAAAAAAAAAAAAAAGGCAAGCUAACAAAAUUGAGAUAAUCCCCUCCCCAUUCAAAUAAUAGAACUAGGAGCUGAAUUUUUUUGGGAGGGAAAAUAAAAAACAAAAAGUGAAUUGACAAGUAACAAAGAAAUAAAA